rnacentral:rRNA from 1 species
AGCGAACGCUGGCGGCAGGCUUAACACAUGCGAGUCGAGCGGGCACUUCGGUGUCAGCGGCAGACGGGUGAGUAACACGUGGGAACGUACCCCUUGGUUCGGAAUAACGCUGGGAAACUAGCGCUAAUACCGGAUACGCCCUUUUGGGGAAAGGCUUGCUGCCGAAGGAUCGGCCCGCGUCUGAUUAGCUAGUUGGUGGGGUAAUGGCCUACCAAGGCGACGAUCAGUAGCUGGUCUGAGAGGAUGAUCAGCCACACUGGGACUGAGACACGGCCUAAACUCCUACGGGAGGCAGCAGUGGGGAAUAUUGGACAAUGGGCGCAAGCCUGAUCCAGCCAUGCCGCGUGAGUGAUGAAGGCCUUAGGGUUGUAAAGCUCUUUUGUCCGGGACGAUAAUGACGGUACCGGAAGAAUAAGCCCCGGCUAACUUCGUG